GCAUGUGGGCGGGGCGACUCUGCCUCCUCCCUCGGGGCGCUGCCCGCCUCUGGAAGCCCAGAUCCCAGCGCAGCCCUGGCCUUUAGGUUCUGAGCGUGUGGCCAGCCAUCCAGCCCAGCCCUUUUGCGCCCGUAACGUUCCUCUGAGUCAGUGUGGCCUCGCGGAGGCACGUGUGGUCCUCAGGAUGGAGCCCCAUCAACGGGCGAGGGCGAGGUCGAGCCCACGUGGUCCAGGCUCCCUCCCGAUGGAGGCGCUGCCUCACGCGAGCCCCAGCUGCGCUGUGAGCUCUGCAUCCUGGACCGAGGCUGCUCUUCUCGGCUGCCGUCCUCAGUCCUCUCCUCAGGGCCACCGCUCCACGCACAGCCUCGACCCAGCAUCUUCAGUGCAGGUGUCACUUCUAUGAUGUGUUUGUCAAAUUCAAAUAUUGUUGCAGUGGACAGAAUCCCCUCCCCUCACUGGGCGCAGCUAGAGCAGUGAGUCCACCGACCACACCAACGUCACGUGUCAACAAUGAAUGGUGCUUUCUCGAAAAAGCUGGCCUUGCGGAUGGAAAGAGGGAGAGAUAGAAGAAUGGAGAAGAAUGGAGAAACACAGCCCAUGAAGCUGCCGGCCCAGGGUCCGCAACUGGCAGAAGGCGGCGGCUCUCAGGACAGGCUGCUGAAUCCGGAACCACGGCUCCAUCGCCACCAGCUUUGUGGCCACAGGCAACAGCACCUGCCUUAUAAGUUGUACUGGGAGGGGGGGUCACCCACAUAAAGCUUCUGACCGUGUUGCCUGGCACACAGAAGUCCUUCAUCACUGAUGCCCGCUUAGGAAGCCUCUCACUCAGUGGCAGAGGUUGAGGCAGCCCCGGGACAGACCGAUAGAGAGGCCUGCAUCUGGGGUUUCGAAUGGAUCCUCUUUUGCCUUCUGGCGGAGUUUCCUCUGAAAAGGUCCCCCGUCCCCACUUCGUCGCUGCCUCUCUGAAACGGGGAGCAGUGCCAUUGCCUCCCUCAUCCGGGGCCAUGACGCCCCCUGGGGCGAAAAUGUGACUCCGGUGUGGGUGAUGCGACGUGCAGGGCCUGUGACCUCCCGAGAAAUAGGUCGAACCCACCGGCUCAGCAGAAGAGGCCCUCCCGGCGCCCCGGCGCCCCGCACGGAGAGACCCCGCUGUCUGGCCCGAGCCGCGUGGAGGUCCCUCGUGUCCAGUCAGCCUUGGGAGGGGGUCUCUGCCCUCCCUUCCAGGGGCGCCUUCUUCUCCUUGGUGUCGCGGUGAGCCUCUGGGCCCCUCGCCUGUCCCCUGACCUCCCUGGCGAGAGUUCCCAGGGCAAAGGCCACAGCGGCUCUGAGUCCCGGGAGAUGGGACUCACGGUGUCCCCACCCCCCGUCCCCGGCCCCGGCUUCUGUCCUGGGGUUUAAAACACAGCCUGCGGGCGGUGUGUCUCUGUCGUAAUGAGCACGGGCUUGGCUGGCCCUGUGCCAAGCGGGCACCACGUGCUCGCCUGCCACACGGUGGGGAAAGAGUGUCCUCAACUAACAGGGGCCCCGCGUGUCAGGGAGGCGAGACUUUUGGUGCGGGCGGCUGGUGUUGUCCGCCUUGGGCGUCAUCAAAAGCGAUGGCACGGCCACUAGGUCCCUGUGAGAUGGAAACAUGGGGCAGGGGGCAUCCCGCGAGCUCCGGUGACCUCGGCGAAGACGCACAGCAGGGACUUUCUUUCUCAGGACGGGGGCUGGACUGUGAGGACGCCCGAGUCACGCUGGUGAAAGGAAAACUCCCCUCGUGUCCGUUGAUGGAUAUAAACACGCGGGCACAAACACACCAAUUGCUUUGUGUCUGGGAAACACACAGCAGGAGCCUGUAUUAACUUUGCAUUUGAGGACCAUCCAGUGAGAAGAAGUACAAACCAGAAGAGGAGGCAGAGGGAGCGCGAGCGGACAGCCCUUCUCCGGGCAGCGUCCUCAUUCCCUUGGCCUCCUCCCUCCCUGACCGCCGGGACUGGCCUCAGCGGACCGAGGCGGCCGCUCAUUUCCUCCUGUCUGUGUCCUCAGGCCUGUGAGACAGAAGGUUUCACGAUGCUUGAAGAUGCAAAGCAGGCUCGCGACCUUUAUUUCCAGACUAAAUAAUUUUAUCUCCUCUUCUAAUUUCUCCUCAGAAAACCUUAGCCCUCUUUGAGGUUCUGCUUUGGAACUGUCCGGAGUGGGGCCAAUUUGGAGCUGUCAGGAUGAGGGAAAAUUAAUUUCCCCCGGCAGGUUCAUUUUAGGAGGGUAGUUACGGAUCGAUGGCUGGUGGUGACUGCAGGGCUCUUGGUCAUUGCUGGCCGAGAGUGACAAUUGGGUGGUAGAUAGAGGAGAAAUGAAUUUCAAAAUGUGGCGUGAAUGAAGGAUGUGAGAGGAAUUGCCGCUGCAGUCACGUGGGUUAAGGAUCUGGUGCUGUCUCUGCAGCUGUGAGGGUUCAAUGCUCGGCCUAGCACAGUGGGUUAGGGAUCUGGAGUUGCUAUAGUUGUGGCAUAGGUCGCAGCUGCAGCUCAGAUUUGAUCGCUGGCCUGGGAAUUUCCAUAUGCCUUGGGUGC
rnacentral:lncRNA from 1 species